GGCUGGGCUGGGCUGGGCUGGGCUGUGCUGGGCUGGGCUGGGCUGUGCUGGGCUGGGCUGGGCUGGGCUGGGCUGGGCUCUGCUGCACUGGGCUGUGUUGCACUGGGCUGUGUUGCACUGGGCUGUGUUGCACUGUGCUCGCUGGGCAGACCGGUGGUCAGGGGCAGCCAUGAGGCCGCCUCUCGGGUCGCCCCAGCAGCUCCACUCGCUCUGCGGCGUGUGGGGCCCCCGUGUGGUGGGCGCCGUCUCCCGCAGGCACUGCAGCUCCAACGGCCGGGCCGGGCGCCUUCCAGGAUUUCCCUUCAAUGUGUUUGGGCCUCCAGGGACCAGGAUCCCCCAGGGGAGGCCACCGUUUGGGCAAUUUGGAGCAGGCCUUGCAGACAGGGGACCCUAACGGUCCAGAGUCAGGGAGCAGGGGAGGAGGCCCGCGCCUGGAACGGGGCGCCCCUGUGGCAGGUCAUUCCAGGCUGGAGGCUUGGCGGGAAAGACUCAGGAGGUGGGGAGGGCAAGCUGGAGGUGACAGACAGGCUCAGGGCCAGGCCAGCUGAGACCUCAAAGCUAUCUCAGGGGACAGCGGCUCGGGCGACCCGAGGGCAAGGGGGAGGAGAAUGGGUGACAAGGGACCGAGGCCCAGAGGCUCAUGUCCUUAUGUCCUGGCCUUUCCCCACCCCCUGCACUGUGCUCUGGAUCCUGCUGACUGCGCCGGAUUAUCUGGAAAUAAAGGCCACAGACCCUGAAACGAAAGGGAAAAGGCAGCCACCUUGCGCGGCUAGCAUGCAGGAAGGAGAGAAGAAAGCGUAGGUCGUCCUACACGCGGGCAGAAGCCAGGCAGCCGCGGCCUCCUCCUGCGGUGGGGCACCCCCUGCCGUGAGAACAAGUUUUUCCUUCAUUUUCCCAGGGAGGCCCCUGUUUACGUCCCCGCCUCCCCCCAGCAGCUGUCUGGAGGGUCCCCCGUGGAGUCCCGUGGAGAGAUGGCGGGAACAGCAGCCCAAGCUCUCGCAUGCUGAUGCCGGAGAAAAGUGAGCCUGAGUGUCGGUCAUUCCGGGUCAGUUUCCCCAGGUGUGGGCUGCGUGCGUCCUUUGCACACGUGAGCCUCAGAUCUCUUCUGGCCAGGUAGGCUGUCUUGGCGUCUUACCUUCGGUAUCUGUUCUGUUCCAAUGCUUUCUUUUGUUUUUCCAGGAACUCCUAUUAGAGGUAUGGCGGUUCCUUUUCUUUCUUUUUUAAACACCUUGAUUGAAAUAUAGUUCACCUGUCAUAAAAUUCACCCAUUUCAAAUGUACAGUUCAAUGGUUUUUAGUGUAUUUACAAGGUUGUGCAACCAAAGCAUCACCGUCAUCUUCUCUUAGAACAUUGUCAUCACCCCUAAAAGGAACCCAUUAGCGCCCCCCGCCCCUGGCAAACACCUGUCUACUCUCUGUGUCUGUGGAUUUCCCUGUUCUGGACACCUCAUGUUGUUAACCGAAAUGAGCAGCUUUCUGAGACAAAGAUGAGUUUUAAAGAAAAGAGAGGCUUUAUUAAAAGUUUGCAAACCGGGAAAGUACACCUCAGCCCACAAGUUGAAAGGUGAGCCCCUCCCCCGGCCUAGGGGUGGCUGGGUUUUAUGUGCAAAAAGGGCAGAGUGUGCAAGGUCCAGGCUGAGUCCUGUUCUGACGAGUCACCCCUCGCAGCUACGGCGUGUCGUGUGCCCGGGGCUUUCCAAACGACAUCCCUGCAGGGAGAGACUGCCGCGUUGUUCUCCGGCUGUCUGGUGACGGUCAAGGUUAAAAUGGAAUUCUUUAUUUCCACCCACAGUUCAGCCUUGAGGCGGUCACAGUAACUGUCACGUCGACUCUGGCCUUGUUCUUAUCUCUUUCUCUUAUCGAUAUAAAUAGAAUCAUACAGUAUGCGGCCUUCUGUGACUGGCUUCUGUCACUUAGCCUCGUGUCUUCAAGGCUCUUUCGUGUUAUGCUUCACUCCUUUAUACAGCUGAAUAAUAUGCCAUUGUGUGACUACACCACAUUUUGUUGAUCAGUUGAGAACAUUUGGGUUGUUUCCACUUCUGGGCUAUUAUGAAUAAUGCUGCUGGGAGCGUUCCUGUAUGGGUUUUGUGUGGACGUGUCUUCACUCCCCUUGGGCAGGUCCCUGGGAGUGGAAAGCCUGGGUCAUACAGGAACUGUGUUCAACCUCUGAGGAACUGCCAAGCUGCCUUCCAGACCGGCUGCCCCCUCCUACAUUCCCACCAGGAGUGUACGAGGGGUCCGCCUUCCCCGCCUCCUCGCCAACACUCGUUACCGCAGCCGUUUUUAUCAGCACCAUCCUGGUGCGUGUGAAGUGCGCCUCCCAUAGCAGCUCUGAUUUGCGCUCUGCUGAGCGUGUUUUCAUGUGCAUGUCGGCGUUCAGACCUCUUGUUUUGGAGAAAUUUCCUCCGGAUCUUCAUUGCCUGUUUUCUGUACUUGCCCUUUUCUCUUGAAUUCUUUUCAUGUCUUUCUCACAAGGUUUUCUUUUGUGUUUAUCCGUUCUCAUAUUCCCUCUGGUUUAAUCUCAAUUCUGAAAUAAUUUUCGUUUCAUUGCUAAUUCUUUUCUAAGUUCCAUCACUUCUCUGAGUCUUUCUAAUGCUGAUGCACACUAUUUUUUCAUAUACUGUAUCGUUUUCUUACUGUCUUUAAGCUCCUUUUGAAGCAUUAGGUUGUGUCUUCGUCUGGGUGACAGCCAGCCUCCAACAGGCCCGUGAGUCCUGGCUCCCAGCAUUCCUGCUCUGUGCGGUCCCACCCACGUUAAAAUCAGCCUGACUGGUGUGUUCAGUAGCAAAGGGGGGACGACACACUGGCGACUGCUGGCGCCAGGUCAUCGAAGGCCCUGGGGCUUCCCACGGCGUCUGGGGGCACUCCCACUGGGGAAAGCGGCCGCCACAUUGUGCAAGGACACUCAAGCAGCGUCACAGAGAAGCCCACCCAGACCAGACCCAGCGCGCCCACCGUGUCAUCAGUCCCCUCGGACAGAGGCCCUUGAGCCCCAGUCAAGCCUUCAGAUGACAGCAAACCUCUGCUCACCCGAGAGCCAAGGCCGAGCUCCUCGAAUGAGCCGCCCCAACGCCAGCCCCCCGCAGCUCGUCACUGGUCGUAGCUGUUCUAACCCUCAGCAUUGGGGGCUGUCACGCAGCAGCAGGUUCCUCCUACUCAAAGGUCACAGACGUCACAGCUGUCAGUGGUGUCCUCCUGCCCGCCCAGCCUUGGUUUCCCGCGUAGAGCUGGACUGUGGGACCUGGCAUUCUGAGGCCUGUCCCUGACCUUGCUGGGCCCCCCGCAGACAUUGACACAUCCACAACCCACGUGGAGACCAGCAGGCCCGGCACGCCCUGAGCAUUGUUAGCUGAGGUCACGUGUGUUAGAAACGGCAGGAUCUGCUCGUUUCCUUCAGGACGAGACAAGAACUUCUGCUUUUAUGGGCUGCCGUCUGGGAAGCCAGGGCGGAACCCGAGGCCCGGGGCUUCCUGCCCAGCUGUGGCUUUGAUGGCUCACGGGCAGACCCGCCAGUCCCCCGGCCCCCACCUGAAGUCAGCUGACCCGGGGACCUCCCCCCCCCA
rnacentral:lncRNA from 1 species